GGGAAAGCAAACUGUCAGCGAUUCUGUGUUUUAUAAAAUGGAUUAUACAUUUCAACUUAAUAAUUUCGUAUAUAGGCUGACGUUGCUGUUAUUUUAACAAAAUUCAUUCGGUUUGUAUGCUGGAAGUUGGAGGCUGACUCAAGACUAAGAACACCUAAGUUAACCAACAAUUCCUCGGAAAAGUAUUCUCAGUGCGCAUAUGUUUCAUCAUGGUGGAAAAUAUCUGGCUGCCUUAAUUUCCUGUUGAUGCCACAUUAAACCUUAACUUUCAUCUUGCUACAUCAUUGGACAAACUUUCUUCGUCUACGAAUGAGCCGAAAAAGUUCCAAGGAAUCUUCUGUUUCACAUUAGGCUGAUGGCCGAGGGAAAUAAAUACGAGACCUCCUCUUUAGACUGUCCUUCGACCCUUCACGAAGAGCAACAGUUUCGCCUUGAUAUUGCUCUAUUUCAAUAUCCAAGAGUGUACACUAAACUGCAAUGGUUAGUCUUGAUGAUUCUGGAAAGUUUCAAGUCUGCCGUUCUUGAACAACAAUGGACAA